rnacentral:rRNA from 1 species
CUCGUAGACUCCUACGGGAGGCAGCAGUGGGGAAUAUUGCACAAUGGGCGCAAGCCUGAUGCAGCCAUGCCGCGUGUAUGAAGAAGGCCUUCGGGUUGUAAAGUACUUUCAGCAGUGAGGAAGGCGGGUACGUUAAUAGCGUGCUUGUUUGACGUUAGCUGCAGAAGAAGCACCGGCUAACUCCGUGCCAGCAGCCGCGGUAAUACGGAGGGUGCGAGCGUUAAUCGGAAUUACUGGGCGUAAAGCGCAUGCAGGUGGUUUGUUAAGUCAGAUGUGAAAGCCCGGGGCUCAACCUCGGAAUUGCAUUUGAAACUGGCAGACUAGAGUACUGUAGAGGGGGUAGAAUUUCAGGUGUAGCGGUGAAAAUGCGUAGAGAUCUGAAGGAAUACCGGUGGCGAAGGCGGCCCCCUGGACAGAUACUGACACUCAGAUGCGAAAGCGUGGGGAGCAAACAGGAUUAGAUACCCUGGUAG